AGGUUGAGGUGGGGGAUACUGGGCUCCUCUGGGCUCCUCUUGGCCCACUUAUGACGUUCCUUGGGGUGUCUGCAUUUGAGAUUCUGAGAUUGGGGACAAGAGCACCUUCUGGCCAAUACCUGCUGUUGUGGCCCUUGCAGGUAAGGAGCAGGUGGGCUGCUGGCAAGGCCGUCCCAGGUAACUGACUCAGGAGAAAAUCAGUCCAGCUGUACUCACAGGAUGCUGGAGAUGGAGAAAACAAGAACUUGUGCACUCAGUGACCCCCAGAAGUCCAAAGUUGGUGGGAGACAGAUGUACUACUGCUCCAAGUUUGGUGUCUGGGUCUCCUGAUGGUCCCCCAGUACACCGCAAGCCUCUCAGCCUACUUGGCAUGCUGAGUACUGUGGUCUGUGAGAGGAAUCUGGGCUCUGUGCUGUGACACCUUAGCGACAUGGCUGCAGCUCUCAGCUGAGAAACUGUCUCUGGAGCAGCCUUUCUACCUUUCUAGUCCCGAGAGAUGCCUCUUCAUGUGCUGCUGGGCCCCUGGCUUACUGCUAUGGAAGCUGUGACACCCACUGUAAAAUCACUGGUUAGCAUGUCUGACCCUUCAGUAGAUCUGAGCUCAGCUUGUUGCUAAAUCUCAGGGUCUAGCACAAUGUCUGGCCCCUAAAUAUUAACAGAAUGAGUGAAUCGAUGGUGACUAUUUAGCCUGGAGAAGAGAACCUAUGAAGGACAGGGAGGGUUCAUGAGAGCUGUCCUCCAGCUGGGGGACUUCUGCCACCGCCUUUGUGUCAGAAGUGGAACUGAACUGACAGGCGGGGCUUAGAGGAGGCAGACGUUGGCUUCCUAUCUUCCUAUCAGAAACGUUAUCAUAAGCAGAACAAACCAAACACAUACUAGGUUAGAUGAGGGAGGAAGACAUCUUCAUCACAGGUGUUUUAAAGGUAGAGCCAAGGAGUGGAUGAGGCCAAGGAGGUGUUCAAUGUUUGCUGAUGCCAGAAAUACACAUACGAGGGGCCAACAAAAUCUAUUGGAAGGUAAAUGGCAUUGUUUUUUUUUUAAUUUUUCUUUUAAAAUACAGAAGUAAUGAUCAGUCCAGAUGAGAAAACUGAGAAGCUUUGUAACAUUAAAAAGAAAAAUUACAACUGAUAAUCACUCAACAUAGACUCGCUAAAAUUUUGGUUUAUUCCCUUCCUAUCUUUCCUUAUAUGUGUAUGUAUAGUCAAGAUUGAAAUACAAUAAUUUUUUCUUCAUUUUUUUUCACUCAACAAUAUGUAAGUCUCUCUAAUGUCAUUACUUUUAGUUAUUACUAUCAUUUUUUAGUGACUUAUUAUUUAAAAGAACCCUGUGCUUUCUCCCCACCAUUCUAUUUUUGGAUUCUUGGCUAGUAUCUAAUUUGUCCCUAAUAUAACUAAUGCUGAGAUGAACAGAAAGUGUAGAUUUCUAAUCAUUUUUAAAUGAAUAUCAUAUCAGUAGCACUGAAUGUCACAGUUACAAUCACAUAAGACAAGAGAUUAUUAUUUGCAAUGUUCCCUCUUAAAAGAGUUCUGUAAGAGGUUUUGUUGAUAUAUUAUUAAAGGGGAAAAGGUAGCUUUCCCUGACUUUCCCUGAUAAUCACAGAUGAUGAGGAAAAUGGAGAAAAUCCAAGAAUUCUUGUGCCUUACCACAGUCAGUUUUAAGCCAGGGCAAGAGCGCACCCUAGCGACCAAAUCGAGAAUAACCAAAUAAAUUAAAGCCCCAAGAGCCCCAGUCCAGAAUGACAAAAUAAAUGAAAACCCCAGCCUUCGGAACGAUCUCGUAUCUCCCUCUUGUGGUCAAAAUCGAUAAAUGCAGCUUUUCCAAUCUCAAGAGCUAGUACUACUUGAUUUACAGACUCGUGAGAUGAAGAACUAGAGGAAUCUUGGAGCAUAGUUAAUUUUCUCAUUUAUGAAGGAGCAAACCGCGGUUCGUAGGAGAGAAGGGACUUGACCAAAGCCGAAAAGACGUUGAGCACUGAACUUAGGGUGGAAGUCUGGUUUCUUGGUGGCUUGAUUGGUGCUUCCGGUUGGCCCAGCCUCACUCCAGGGCCUGCGACCAUGACUGGCUCCCCCCCACUGCCCUUCGU